AUUGAACGCUGGCGGCAGGCCUAACACAUGCAAGUCGAACGGUAACAGAAAGCAGCUUGCUGCUUUGCUGACGAGUGGCGGACGGGUGAGUAAUGUCUGGGAAACUGCCUGAUGGAGGGGGAUAACUACUGGAAACGGUAGCUAAUACCGCAUAACGUCGCAAGACCAAAGAGGGGGACCUUCGGGACUCUUGCCAUCGGAUGUGCCCAGAUGGGAUUAGCUAGUAGGUGGGGUAACGGCUCACCUAGGCGACGAUCCCUAGCUGGUCUGAGAGGAUGACCAGCCACACUGGAACUGAGACUCGGUCCAGACUCCUACGGGAGGCAGCAGUGGGGAAUAUUGCACAAGGGGCGCAAGCCUGAUGCAGCCAUGCCGCGUGUAUGAAGAAGGCCUUCGGGUUGUAAAGUACUUUCAGCGAGGAGGAAGGUGUUGUGGUUAAUAACCACAGCAAUUGACGUUACUCGCAGAAGAAGCACCGGCUAACUCCGUGCCAGCAGCCGCCGUAA
rnacentral:rRNA from 1 species